rnacentral:rRNA from 1 species
CCUACGGGUGGCAGCAGUGGGGAAUAUUGGACAAUGGGGGGAACCCUGAUCCAGCCAUGCCGCGUGUGUGAUGAAGGCCCUCGGGUUGUAAAGCACUUUCAGUGAGGAAGAACGCCUGGUGGUUAAUACCCAUCAGGAAAGACAUCACUCACAGAGGAAGCACCGGCUAACUCCGUGCCAGCAGCCGCGGUAAUACGGAGGGUGCGAGCGUUAAUCGGAAUUACUGGGCGUAAAGCGCGCGUAGGUGGCUUGAUAAGCCGGUUGUGAAAGCCCCGGGCUCAACCUGGGAACGGCAUCCGGAACUGUCAAGCUAGAGUGCAGGAGAGGAAGGUAGAAUUCCCGGUGUAGCGGUGAAAUGCGUAGAGAUCGGGAGGAACACCAGUGGCGAAGGCGGCCUUCUGGACUGAAACUGACACUGAGGUGCGAAAGCGUGGGUAGCAAACAGGAUUAGAUACCCGUGUAGUC